rnacentral:rRNA from 1 species
AAUGAACGCUGGCGGCGCGCCUAAUACAUGCAAGUCGAGCGAGAAGACGUAGCAAUACGUUUGUAAAGCGGCGAACGGGUGAGGAAUACAUGGGUAACCUACCCUAGAGUGGGGAAUAACUAGCCGAAAGGUUAGCUAAUACCGCGUACGCUCCUUGGACUUCGGUUCAGGGAGGAAAGCGAUGCCGAGGGUAUCGCGCUCUUGGAUGGGCUCAUGUCCUAUCAGCUCGUGGUGAGGUAACGGCUCACCAAGGCUUCGACGGGUAGCUGGUCUGAGAGGACGAUCAGCCACACUGGGCACUGCGACACGGGCCAGACUCCUACGGGAGGCAGCAGUAAGGAAUAUUGCGCAAUGGGCGAAAGCCUGACGCAGCGACGCCGCGUGGGGGA